rnacentral:rRNA from 1 species
UUGAUCCUGGCUCAGAAUCAACGCUGGCGGCGUGCCUAACACAUGCAAGUCGAACGAGAAAGUGGAGCAAUCCAUGAGUAAAGUGGCGACCGGGUGAGUUACACGUGACUAACCUACCUUCGAGUGGGGGAUAACCUCGGGAAACUGGGUCUAAUACCGCAUAACAUCUUUGGAGUGGAAAUUCUGGAGAUCAAAGGAGUAAUUCGCUGGAAGAGGGGGUCGCGGCUGAUUAGCUAGUUGGCGGGGUAAUGGCCCACCAAGGCUUAGAUCGGUAGCCGGCCUGAGAGGGCGCACGGCCAUACUGGAACUGAAACACGGUCCAGACUCCUACGGGAGGCAGCAGUGGGGAUUUUUGCGCAAUGGGGGAAACCCUGACGCAGCAACGCCGCGUGGAGGAUGUAGUCCCUUGGGACGUAAACUCCUUUCGACCCGGACGAUAAUGACGGUACUGGUGGAAGAAGCCCCGGCUAACUUCGUGCCAGCAGCCGCGGUAAUAAGGU